rnacentral:lncRNA from 1 species
AUAUAUCGGGGCACUGCUUUUUCUUCAUGUUUUGUGAUUAGUUGUGUUGUGGGUUGUUUAGGGUCUAAAGAUGGGAUUAAUUAUGUUGUGCAUCAUGCUUUCUCCUUUUUGAGUGCAAAACGGAGGAAGCAAAGAGCUUCCCCCCCGCAAUCCUUUAUUAAGAGUAAAAUAGAAAAACUGUGCAUCAUGCUUUCAACGAC